rnacentral:rRNA from 1 species
UAUGUGAUCGUCUCUCGCAUAUCAAUAAGCGGAGGAAAAGAAACUAACAAGGAUUCCCCUAGUAACGGCGAGUGAAGCGGGAAGAGCUCAAAUUUGAAAUCUUAAAGGGUUUCCCUUUACGAAUUGUAGUUUAAAGAAGUGUUUUCUGUUGAGGUUUUGGUAAAAGUUCUUUGGAAUAGGACAUCAUAGAGGGUGAGAAUCCCGUAUUUGACCUUUACUUUCAACUUUGUGAUACACCUUCAAAGAGUCGGAUUGUUUGGGAAUGCAGUCCAAAAUGGGUGGUAAAUUUCAUCUAAAGCUAAAUAUUGGCGAGAGACCGAUAGCGAACAAGUACCGUGAGGGAAAGAUGAAAAGAACUUUGAAAAGAGAGUUAAACAGUACGUGAAAUUGUCAAAAGGGAAGUGUUUGACACCAGUGUUGUUUUUCUGAAAAUCAAUUAAAGAACUGUUUAUGCUAAGUUGUUUAGACUUUAUCAGCUAACUGUUUAGUUUUGAGCUUUUCUUUAAUGCACUUUUCAGUUAACAAGUCAACAUCAAUUUCUUUUGCUGUAAAAAAGCUUGAGGAAGGUGGCUUGAGAUUCGUCUUAAGUGUUUAUAGCCUCUUGCCUAUGCAGUCGGAGAGAUUGAGGUCUGCAGCGUAGAUCCUUCGGGGCUAAAUGCAUUUGUGCUAAGUUAUAGCAUUUUAUAGACAACUUGUUGACUAUGAUUUGUCUUGUAGCUUACUCGCUUAUGUUAUUUUACCUACGCUUAGGAUGUUGAAGUCAUCGUAUCGCGC